AGGGAAUAGAUACCCGGGUAGUCCACGCUGUAAACGAUGGAUGCUAGCUGUGAUACGUAUCGACCCGUGUCGUAGCGAAAGCUAACGCGUUAAGCAUCCCGCCUGUGGAGUACGGCCGCAAGGCUAAAACAUAAAGGAAUUGACGGGGACCCGCACAAGCGGUGGAGCGUGUUGUUUAAUUCGAUGGUAAGCGAAGAACCUUACCCAGGUUUGACAUCCUUGGAAAUUCUGCGAAAGCAGAGUGUGCCUUUUGGAACCAAGUGACAGGUGAUGCAUGGCCGUCUUCAGCUCGUGUCGUGAGACGUUAGGUUAAGUCCUUCAACGAGCGCAACCCUUAUAGUUAGUUGUAUUUUCUAGCUAGACUGCCCUGGUAACAGGGAGGAAGGAGGGGAUGAUGUCAGGUCAGUAUCUCCCUUAUAUCUGGGGUC
rnacentral:rRNA from 1 species